GGAGGGGGCGAGCGUUGUUCGGAAUUACUGGGGCGUAAAGGGGCGUGUAGGCGGCCACGUCAGUCAGGCGUGAAAUCCCUCGGCUUAACCGAGGGAACUGCGUUUGAUACUGCGUGGCUUGAGUGCGGGAGAGGAGAGUGGAAUUCCCAGUGUAGCGGUGAAAUGCGUAGAGAUUGGGAGGAACACCAGUGGCGAAGGCGGCUCUCUGGACCGCAACUGACGCUGAUGCGCGAAAGCGUGGGGAGCGAACGGGAUUAGAUACCCCGGUAGUCCACGCUGUAAACGAUGGGCACUAGGUGUAGCGGGUAUAGACACCUGCUGUGCCGCAGCUAACGCAUUAAGUGCCCCGCCUGGGGAGUACGAUCGCAAAGAUUG
rnacentral:rRNA from 1 species